UACGAAGGGGGCUAGCGUUGCUCGGAAUUACUGGGCGUAAAGGGAGCGUAGGCGGGUCGUCAAGUCAGGUGUGAAAGCCCCGGGCUCAACCUGGGAAUGGCAUUUGAGACUGCAUAGCUAGGGUGCGGAAGAGGGAAGCGGAAUUUCCGGUGUAGCGGUGAAAUGCGUAGAUAUCGGAAGGAACAUCAGUGGCGAAAGCGGCUUCCUGGUCCAGCACCGACGUUCAGGCACGAAAGCGUGGGGAGCAAACAGG
rnacentral:rRNA from 1 species